GACGAACGCUGGCGGCGUGCCUAAUACAUGCAAGUUGAGCGAUGAAGAUUGGUGCUUGCACCAAUUUGAAGAGCAGCGAACGGGUGAGUAACGCGUGGGGAAUCUGCCUUUGAGCGGGGGACAACAUUUGGAAACGAAUGCUAAUACCGCAUAACAACUUUAAACAUAAGUUUUAAGUUUGAAAGAUGCAAUUGCAUCACUCAAAGAUGAUCCCGCGUUGUAUUAGCUAGUUGGUGAGGUAAAGGCUCACCAAGGCGAUGAUACAUAGCCGACCUGAGAGGGUGAUCGGCCAAAUUGGGACUGAGACACGGCCCAAACUCCUACGGGAGGCAGCAGUAGGGAAUCUUCGGCAAUGGACGAAAGUCUGACCGAGCAACGCCGCGUGAGUGAAGAAGGUUUUCGGAUCGUAAAACUCUGUUGGUAGAGAAGAACGUUGGUGAGAGUGGAAAGCUCAUCAAGUGACGGUAACUACCCAGAAAGGGACGGCUAACUACGUG
rnacentral:rRNA from 1 species